rnacentral:rRNA from 1 species
ACGACUCUCGGCAACGGAUAUCUCGGCUCUCGCAUCGAUGAAGAACGUAGCGAAAUGCGAUACUUGGUGUGAAUUGCAGAAUCCCGUGAACCAUCGAGUCUUUGAACGCAAGUUGCGCCCGAAGUCGUCAGGCCGAGGGCACGUCUGCCUGGGCGUCACG